CAGAAAAUAGUUUAAAGGAGAAUGGUAGCUUUGGGAGUUGCUGGUGCAAGUUUUUAGUCUUGUUUUUCUGAU
rnacentral:tRNA from 1 species